CACGUAGGGGGCAAGCGUUGUCCGGAUUCAUUGGGCGUAAAGAGCUCGUAGGCGGUUCGAUAAGUCGGGUGUGAAACCUCCAGGCUCAACCUGGAGACGCCACCCGAUACUGUCGUGACUAGAGUCCAGUAGGGGAGCGUGGAAUUCCUGGUGUAGCGGUGAAAUGCGCAGAUAUCAGGAGGAACACCGGUGGCGAAGGCGGGUCUCUGGGCCGAAAUUGACGCUGAGGAGCGAAAGCGUGGGGAGCAAACAGG
rnacentral:rRNA from 1 species